AGGGAGAAGACCUGGUAGAUAGACGGCAGGUGCACGCCGGGUAACCGGUGCAGCUAAGCCGCCCUAAUGAUCGUACGGCUUGUUUCA
rnacentral:rRNA from 1 species